rnacentral:misc_RNA from 1 species
GAUGAAGAACGUAGCGAAAUGCGAUACUUGGUGUGAAUUGCAGAAUCCCGUGAACCAUCGAGUCUUUGAACGCAAGUUGCGCCCGAAGCCAUUAGGCCGAGGGCACGCCUGCCUGGGCGUCACACGUCGUUGCCCCCCCAUCUACUCCUUCGGGAUUGCGGGGGGCGGAUGAUGGCCUCCCGUGCGCCUCGCCGCGCGGUUGGCAUAAAUGCCAAGUCCUCGGCGACGCACGCCACGACAAUCGGUGGUUGCGAAACCUCGGUUGCCCGUCGUGUGCGGUCGUCGCGCAUCGAGGGCUCGAAAAAAUUGCCGGGUUCCGGCUCGGCUUUCAACGCGACCCCAGGUCAGGCGGGGUUACCCGCUGAAUUUAAGCAUAUCAAUAAGCGGAAGA